UUGUCUAUGUGUGCCAUUCAAAGGGUGAAUGGGCAAGACAAAAAAUAUUGAAGUGCCUUUGAACAGGGUGUGGUAAUGGUGGAACUUAACAUUAGGAAAGUGCACUUAAUGUUUUGUGAACUCAGUGUAGGUCAUUGUCUGUUUUAGACUACAGCAUUUAUACCUGCAGGAGAACCACAUCUCAGUAGUACCAAAGGUGUUACUGAGGAACCUGCAACAGAAGGGAUAUUUGUAACACCAGCAGGUGUGUCUGGAACAAAAUUGUGAUUGAACAGGACUUCGGGAAUCCUGUCUCUUGAGGGGUUGGAGACUGAAUACAUUAAUGGAUGAGUGGUCAAUCCAAAAACGAUUCCCCCACUCACAUAUUCCUUGACGCUGGAGCUGAGGACAGAGCAAUUGUAUGGAGCGUACGGUUUGCUACUACCAGAGCUUUGUUUCCUCAAUGUGGCUGAUCAUAAGAUUGUUGAGGAAGAAGCACUGUUUUCCUAUGCUCAGUGAGCUUGUUAUUCACUCCAACCCACUGACCACACGGGGGAAGUGGUGACCCCCGUACUGCUGACUGACUUCCUCCAGGAAAGGCUGGGUAUUUAGAAUUAGGUAAAAAUAAAUUCCUAAGGUGCCUUUUAUUGAUGAUCUCUGGAGAUGAAAGAUUUUGAAGAUCACAAUGGUCAUCAGAUGACACCUUCCAAAAUGAGGAGCCAUUUUUUUUGUGGUGGCUGCUGAGGGAAGGACUUUUCAUAACAGUGCCGUUUAUGAUGAGGGAGGAGGAUACAUUUUUUUUCAUGAGCAUGUCCUCUUACAGCAUGUUGGAUGAUGUCAUUCAUAUUCUAUUCACCCAGUUCAAUGUAACAUCGAUGGGUUUAGGCUACUACAGUAUUCUCAAAUGUUUCCUAUCCCCACCAUGACAUUGCUACAACUUAGUUUAUGUAAUUUGAUAUUGGUGACUCAUUUGAAACUGCCUUGCCUGCAGCUACCUUAUCUAGGGUGCAAUCAUUAGUCCAACAGUUUCUAUUGGACAUUCUUUAAAAAAAAAAAAUGUAUCCCUGUUUUCUUCAAUUUAAUGUUUUUCAACAGAAUCAUCAGCAUGAAUAAACAAGUGCACUUUCAUAGCA